rnacentral:rRNA from 1 species
AUUGAACGCUGGCGGCAGGCCUAACACAUGCAAGUCGAACGGUAACAGGAAGAAGCUUGCUUCUUUGCUGACGAGUGGCGGACGGGUGAGUAAUGUCUGGGAAACUGCCUGAUGGAGGGGGAUAACUACUGGAAACGGUAGCUAAUACCGCAUAACGUCGCAAGACCAAAGAGGGGGACCUUCGGGCCUCUUGCCAUCGGAUGUGCCCAGAUGGGAUUAGCUAGUAGGUGGGGUAACGGCUCACCUAGGCGACGAUCCCUAGCUGGUCUGAGAGGAUGACCAGCCACACUGGAACUGAGACACGGUCCAGACUCCUACGGGAGGCAGCAGUGGGGAAUAUUGCACAAUGGGCGCAAGCCUGAUGCAGCCAUGCCGCGUGUAUGAAGAAGGCCUUCGGGUUGUAAAGUACUUUCAGCGGGGAGGAAGGGAGUAAAGUUAAUACCUUUGCUCAUUGGCGUUACCUGCAGAAGAAGCACCGGCUAACUCCGUG